GGAGGCGGACCAGUAAGGUACUGGAGCUGGUUGCUAACCAGUCAGGGCUACCCGGCCCAGCAGGUUCGAUUCCUGUCGCCUCCG
rnacentral:tRNA from 1 species